rnacentral:lncRNA from 1 species
UUCAGGCUUAUUUGAUAUGGUUACAGUUUUUCUUUUUUCUUUUUUUCCUUUUUGUACCAGCAGUGUAUUGGAGAUCUCAGUGUGGGACGUCUUUGCUAAUACUUGGUAUUGUUUGACAUUUAAAUUGUAGCUAUUCAGAUGGGCAUGAAUUGGUUCUGAUUGCUGUUUUUAAGAUGUGGCCUGACUGUCAAGCCUUCAGAGAACAGGCAGCCUCUUCUGGGGGAAGCCUUCAACCCUGUGCAUCCCACAAUCUGGAGACACUGUUGGCUGACUGUGACUUACCACCAGACAAAUGCCCACCAGAGGACAGUCUCCUUGGCAUCUGUGUAACCUCAAAGCCCAGCACGGUGUCCAACACUCAGUGGUUUCUACAAUGCAUGUUUAACUGAGCAGAGCUGAACUAGUGCUCCCAGGGAACUGACUGAUGGAAGUCUGUCUUAAAAGCUGAGCUCUAUAAUUUUGCAGCUGUUUGCCCUUGGAGACGUCAUUUAACUUCUCUGUCUGGGACUCUGGCAAUAUAAGGAAAGUGCCAUAAUAUUAAUCUGAACAAGUGCCCAGGCAACUCUUAAGUUUAACAGCAGUAUCAUAUCGCCAUUUAGUGUGCACACUUCAUUCUCUUAUAUACCUGAGAGAGAUUAUUUUAAAAUCUCUCAUGUUAAUCAAACCACAUUUCCUGAUCUAGAUAAAAAAGGUUUCAGAGUUUAAUUACACAAAAAGUAGGUAAUGUUGCAUGAAGAUUUACAAAGAAGCCAAGAUUUUUUUUUUCUUUUUAAAGUAUGACUAGGUAAUAAUAGAUAUAAGCAUAUUUUUCUCAUUCCUAAUACAUGUUUUAUUUGGAUGGUGUGCUGUGAUAUUUGAGGAUUUGGGACACACUCUUUUAGUGUAGGUUGCAAGAAAACUGUGAAACACAGACGCCAACAGUAGGUGAAGUCAGAAGAUCUUCUGUGUUAAUUUCUGAAAUGUCUAGCAGUGGGCCAUUCUUUGACGGUAGCCUGAUAUCUGAUAAAGAUAACAUUCUGCCACUGGCCAUGUGAGGAGCAAUUCCCAGCCAGGGGAAGGACUCCAAGUCCCCAAAUCUUUCUUAAAAUUUUAGAUUGAGAAUUGACAGAAAACAUAUAAACUCAGAUAAAUAGGCAAAGGUAUUGAACAGACUAUUCAUAACUGUACUUAUGACCACAAUAAAAAUAGAAGCAAUAUAAAUUUGGGUAAAAUAAUUAGAUAUGUAUUUGGGGCCUAUGAAAUCACAAACUACAUCUAAAAUUUAAUUAGAAUGAUAGGUGAUUUUUGUUUUCUUAUUUGCAUUUGUCACAUUUUAAAAAAUACUGCAUAGGUAUUACUUUUAUAACCACCCAAUAGUAUUUGAGAAUAUGCUCUAAAACAAAUGAGCCCAGUUCAUUUUAUUCAUGUUCAGGAAGCUAAAGUCAGCCAGUGGAAACAGUGCAGUGAGGUGGCUGUGACUGGUUUUAUUUGUACUUGCCACUUACUCUGCAGAUACCAUGGAUUGGCAGGCAUAGCUCUUAUUUUAUCAGAUAGAAGAGAAAUGGGAAAUGACACAGAAUUCCCACACAUGGGAAGGGGGCAUUUUUUAAUUGAGCAGAUACUAUAUCCUGUAUGUUAUGCUCAGUACUUUACACCUAUAUCUCAUGCCAUCCUUAAAUGACACAGAGUGGGGCCUUCCAACUGGAAAGAAUGCUGCAGUACGAUGGCUGAUAAGCAGAAAACAACAUACAACAAAGCUUGGCAUUAAAAUUACUUUCAGAAGAUAUGGUAAAACUGCUUUUUUUGGGUCUUGGAUUGUUAGUAGAGCCUCAAAGUUUAAUAACCAAGACCCAGGUGCCUAAUUUGCCCCACUGGGUCCUGUCACUGACUCACUGGAUGACCUUAGUGAAAUCGUUUUCCAUCUGUGAGUGUGUUUCCUUGCUGUGAAGAUGAAACUAAAAAUAAAUACUGCCUUCAUCAUGGGUUAUGGUAAGGACUAGCUGAGUAAUGUUUACUAAGAAAUUGCAACUUUUUCAAGCAAAAGGGGGAGAACAAAAUGCCUGUUUCAUCAUAUAGGAAACCUGUUUGGGAGUUUUGUGACCCUAAAGUGAUAUAAAUAAAAUAGAGGACUUUUUUUCAACCUCCUUUGUUAGAGUAUGAGACAAAACUGGCUGAAUUCCGGUGUUCUUUGGUGCUGGCUAAGAACAGCUUGGUUGCCCAUGAGCAGCGUGGUCAGAGGCUGGUUCCUGGUGGCAGGGUGCAUUCUGGAGAAAGCAGUCUCCUCCAGCCUGAGCUGUGCUCCCCCACGGGACUGAGUCACUCAGGCCACCCAGUCUCUCUCUCCCAAAGCUUCCAAAGCUCACUCUCUUCCAGGUGCUAAGUCCACCAUCAAUUUUUCUUUGACUAGUCUAGUUUUGUAAGUGGCAGGUUUUCUGAUUUUAAACAGAAAAAUUCUGCCUCCCUUGCAUUAUUUUUUAAAUAUAAUUUUAUUCUUCUCUUUGAUGUGAGUGUCCAGUUCUCAUAGCUAAGAAGGUCCAGGAGUGCAACUCAGAAGUGUAGAAAGAAAAUGGGCUUCAAAGGUAAGGUUUUCCCUACUUGGUUUCCAACUGUCUUAUGAUGGCCUUGGACACUAACCUCUUUGAGCUUCAGUCUCCAAUGGGAAAUAUUAACCUUAUAGGGUUGUUGUAAGGAUCGGAGACCUUUUAUUUAUUUAUGUUUCAUGUCAUACAAAACACACAUUAUGGGCACGGGCACCAAGUUCCUUACCUCAUAAUAUGGUGGCAAAAAAAGAUAAGCCCUGCCCUGAUAGAACCCGUGUUGCAGGGGGAAGCUAAGUCCUAAGUAUGAAUCUACAAUUCAGGUUCUAACAGGUGAACAGUCUAUAGCACAGUGGGCCUCUCUGCGUUGGGUGCUGAUGAGCUCUUCAUUUACCCUCCAAACAUAGAACAAAAGAACACAUUGAGGGCUUACGUGGUCUCAUGUUGCUCCCAUUUUUCACUACUUGUUCAAACAACAGUGACAGAACACCUGGUUCCCAUGGGCAGGGAGUUCUGCUGGGCACUAGGAACACUGAGAUCAAAGGGACCCUGCGUUGUCCUGAAGGGGCUGACAGUCAGAGUAGGGGAGGCAGACACCUAAACGGGUGUUACACUUCAGAGCACUGAGCACCACAGGGCUCUUAGAGAAUGCUCCAAGCUGGGACUAGGAACUGAGUCCUGAGGAUCAAGGGACAUUUGUGAUGCAGGGUGGCAGUGAUAUGGUGGGGAAGAAGGUGGAGUUGGUGCUUCAGACAGAGAGGACAGAGGAAAAGGCUGUGGGGGGACACAGCAUUUUUGGUUUCUGGCAUGUCACAGAACAGUUCAAUUCAGUGUGAGGAGCUUGGAGGGAGCAGGGGACAGGCAGUUAAGAGGUGAGAAUAAAAACUGGAAGUGUGAAGGGGUUGGCCUGUGCGUGGUGCUGACCUUGGAAAAGGGAAGACAGGUGGAAGACUGGGAGUGAGAGGGGCUGGGGGCCUGGAGGAGGUGCCAGGACCAGAAACAGUCAGGGGUCAGUGUCCCAGGAAGGGUGGACAAGACUUAGUGAGUGGCUGGUGUGGGCAUUGCGGGGAGAAGGAGACGCUGAGGACAGGACCAAUGUCCCCUGCAGGGAGGAUGUGGUGACAUUAACUAGGGGAGGCUGACAGCGCCACCUUUGAUGCCAAAUCCCACCUCCAGCUCUUCCCUGUGGCUCUGGGAAAAUUGCUUAAUUAUCUGUGUCUCAGACUCUUCACCUAUAAAUGAGGAUGACAAUAACAGAACCUCAUAGAUUGGGGCUUUAUUGUGUAGAUUAAGUAAAAUGACCACAUGUAGAUAUCAGAACAGUGUCUGGCACAUCUGAAGUCCUCAGUAAGGACUGGUUGUUAUUCUCGGGGAACACGGGGAGACAGAGAAUCUUGGAGGAGAAAGAUUAGGGUGGUCCAGUUCUGAUUACAUGACAAAAAGCUGCCUCAAGACUCUGAGGCCAUUAUGGCCAUCUUUGUCAAAAGAAGGUGAACUGCCCCGUGGAGUGUUAGCUCGGAAGUCUCCAGCUGUGGAAACCCAGAGCAACUCUUGUGAGAUUUCCUAUCAACCAGAGGCAGGUGGAGCUGUGGACCCUACAUUUAUUUCAGGGCUGGGGCAAGAAAAAUGUG